GAACUUGGAUCGGGAAGAGAGCUGCUGUUACUCAGCCCCCUCAGAGACCCCAACAUUAGAGACAAAUACGAUAUUUCAUUGGUAUGGCAAAAUUAAAGAAGAGAAGACAAAACACACGUGAAGGUAAUUUUUCUUGCAAGUGUUGAAUUCAGAAGUAAAAGGAGGAGAAAUCCUGGACACUGACCUUGCUCCCCAGACUCACGAAGAGGAAGUACCCAAAUGUGGUAAAGAUGUUCAAACGCUGGGCAGGCAAAGGAACGACCAUCUGUCCAUUGACUAUAUGAAUGACACUUCCUGACAUGGUAUGAAUACAAAGAUGGAUAACACCCAGAACCUGUCCCCGGAGACUGGAUCAGCUUAUAAUUCUUUCCCUUUUGGUGGCUACAUUUAUUUGGCAUCACAUAGUCUGCAAAGUCUCUCGCUCUCAUUGUUUCAUCAGGUCCUUCCUGACAGCUAU